AUUGAACGCUGGCGGCAGGCCUAACACAUGCAAGUCGAACGACUGGCGGACGGGUGAGUAAUGUCUGGGAAACUGCCCGAUGGAGUGGGAUAACUACUGGAAACGGUAGCUAAUACCGCAUACCAUCGGAUGUGCCCCGAUGGGAUUGGCUAGUAGGUGGGGUAACGGCUCACCUAGGCGACGAUCCCUAGCUGGUCUGAGAGGAUGACCAGCCACACUGGAACUGAGACACGGUCCAGACUCCUACGGGAGGAAGCAUUGGUGAAUAUUGGACAAUGGGCGAAAGCCUGAUGCAGCCAUGCCGCGUGUAUGAAGAAGGCCUUCGGGUUGUAAAGUACUUUAAGCGAGGAGGCGUUACUCGCAGAAGAAGCACCGGCUAACUCCGUGCCAGCAGCCGAGGUAAUUC
rnacentral:rRNA from 1 species